CCCUUAGAUGUUCUGGGCCGCACGCGCGCUACACUGAUGCAUUCAACGAGUCUAAAACCUGCUCUGAUAGGGGUGGGUAAUCUUUUGAAUGUGCAUCGUGAUUGGGAUAGAUGAUUGCAAUUUUUCAUCUUCAACGAGGAAUGCCUAGUAAACGCAAGUCAUCAGCUUGCAUUGAUUACGUCCCUGCCCUUUGUACACACCGCCCGUCGCUCCUACCGAUUGAAUGAUCCGAUGAAUAUCAUGGAUUGAGGAUUAUAGCAGGUUCGCCUGUCUUGAUCUUCGAGAAGUGAAGUAAAUCUUAACAUUUAGAGGAAGGAGAAGUCGUAACA
rnacentral:rRNA from 1 species